UACGUAGGUGGCAAGCGUUGUCCGGAAUUAUUGGGCGUAAAGCGCGCGUAGGCGGACCUGCAAGUCGGGGGUGAAAGCCCGAGGCUCAACCUCGGAACUGCCUUCGAUACUGCGGGUCUCGAGUCCGGGAGAGGUGAGUGGAAUUCCUAGUGUAGAGGUGAAAUUCGUAGAUAUUAGGAAGAACACCAGUGGCGAAGGCGGCUCACUGGCCCGGUACUGACGCUGAGGCGCGAAAGCGUGGGGAGCAAACAGG
rnacentral:rRNA from 1 species